GGCAUAGGGAGAAAUGGGGCAGGGCAGGCCCUGCUCUUCUAGGGGCCUGCUGUGGCUUCCACUGGGUCCUAAUGCCCCUGGCUCCUGUCCCUUUUGACUGUAGCCAGAGGCAAAUAAAUAUUAAUU